rnacentral:rRNA from 1 species
GAAGUAAAAAGUGGUAACAAAGGUUUCCUUAGGUGAACCUGCGGAAGGAUCAUUA